GAUCAAUUCUUAAGGGACACACACACAAAGCGAUGAUAUCUAGUCAAGGCUCAGGUAGUGUACAAGGCGUGUACCUAAGAGAUGCUGUGGCUUGAUAGAUGGACAGGCAGAGAGAUCAAUCUGCUUUUGCUCUCCACAAGACAUGAAUACCAUCAUUGUCCUUGCAUCAGGGGAACAUUAGUUUGAAGGGCUUUCCAAAGGUAAAAUGUUUUCCUCGUAUCAAGCUGCUUGCUUAUUUAAGAGACAAUUCAGGCAUAUCAACAGCACACCAUGCUAACUCCAGGACCGGGGGCGGGGCUUAAGCAAGUCACUCUGCAUGGAACCCUUCCAUGCCUCAGUAAGUCUACCUGUUCACUACAGAAGCUCCAAGUUGUCUUGUAAAUGGGCCUCCUCCAUUAUUCACAUAAUUACCACCAGCCAAUUAAAAGGGGGGUUAUGAAAACGACUCUCCUUGAAAUGUGAUGUCUGAGGCAGGGUGAAGCCAAAGCUACUUUAACAUAGAGGUGGGGAAGCUAAAGCCCUCCACAGGUUGUUAGAUUGCAGCUCCCAUCACCCCAGGCCAAUGGCUUUGCUGACUGGGAUGUAUGGGAGUUGGAGCCUAACAACCUCUGAAGGGUGAUAGAUUGGCCACCCCUACUUUAGCAUUUUUGAAGCACCCUUUUCUCAAUAAUCUUUAUAACAGCUUGACAUAAUUUGCCCUUCACCAUAGACAUUUGCUGAGACUGGCUUUUCAAAGGUCACCUAGUGAAUUUAUGCCAAGGUGUUGAACUAAGGAUCACCUGGUCUGUUUGCUUGUUUUUAGGAUAAACACUGUAGCCUUAGCCACUAGACUAUUCCAGUUCUGAUUAUGCAGAAAGCUUGCUGUGCGGCAAGAAGCAAACCACAAGCUGUCCGCUAUAAUAAAACUUCCACUGGAGAGAUCACAAAGAGCUGGUUUUCCUUUAGACAAUUUCACAUGCCAGGAAAAUCCGUUCUAGUUAGCCUAACAAGAGGGCAUCUUGAGGACAAUCUGGAAAAGCAGCUCCAAGUAUGCAGAAUUGGUGUAAUAUACAUGUGUAAACUAGCAAAAGCAAUGCCAGUAUUGAUCGUCCUUCCACAAGAGUGUAGUUAGGUUGCAUGCAGUGAUUAGUCAUCACUUCCACUAACUUUGAAAACCCCCAGAAUGCCUCCCUGUCAUGUACAGUAUGAGUUCCUGCAGCCAGCUAUAGUAAAUCAAGCCUCAUAAGGCAUGCAAGAUGCUUUUUUAAACUGCUGACACCGGAGAAUGACCCCACCUGCUGGAUUACAGCAAUAAUGUGCAUAUUUGGACCCCACAAGGAGAUCAAGGUAGCAGACAUAGAAGAUACUUUACUGGGUCCUAGCAACAAUCUAGUAUUGUACUCUAGGCUGAGAGAUAGUAUCCAGCUCAAGACAACUCUUAGUAGCCUCAUAGCUGACCAGGAGUUUCAUCUAGGGUGGCCACAUUAUCAAAACAGAGGAGCCGCAUCACUAAAAGGAAGGCAUAUAUUUGCACAAACGUAUUUGCACCUAGUUUGAGCAGGUGAUCUGUAUGCUUCCUCAGUCUCCUGCCCAGAUGCUUAUGAUUGAUGGGCAACUUCAAGGUCACUGCUAUCCCUUCUUAUGUUUAAGCAGCACUGGACAUGACAGCCCUUGAAAUAGAAAACUCUCCUUUAUAAAGUGGAACAUGUGGACACCCUAAUUUCAGCCUGGGCUCCUCAAACCAAGUCCAACCCUUCUGCCAUUGUACCAACAGACUUAAAACAGCAGCUCAAAAGAUUGGACAAGCAGCUAGAUGAGAACUUCCAAAAUGAGGGAGUGGUAGAAUUACUGUAACAGAUUUCCAAUGAGUGCUUUCAAAUCUCCAUCAGUAGAGAUGUUUAAAAGUAUGACAGACAGGCAUUUUAUUGGAUUACUUGGGGUUGCUUCAGUGCCUGAAGAAGGUCUGAAAAUUAGACCCCUUACAAUCAUGUUUGGUUUUCUAUACAAAGGUGAUGAAGUACAUCUCUGCUGAUGAGGCAUAGUCCUCUAGCAAGGAUAGCUUGGUGUAAGUUCCUUCAUCUAGCAAGGGGCUGGACUUUAUGAGGCCCCUUCCGAGUUUAUCUUUAUAUGUAGGAAAGUAUGGGGGUGAGUGUCCUUAAAAGGCUACAAAUGAAAAGGAGCAUUCAUUCAUGGUGCAAAACACAUCUAGACAGAAAUGUCAUAUUUAACGGCAGAGGCUGAGAAAACUGUCCUUGAAGGCAUCAGCCUAGUGUGGCAGCAGGACAAAAGGCAAAUAUGAUUAUAGGUUCAUCAGAGGAAGCAGGGAAUACAAAUCCUCAGAAAUUAUGUUGUUGUUAUUCAAGGCACAGAGUUUAGACUUUAUCUAGUAGACAGGCUUCAGGUUUGCUCAACUAUUCAUAGAUAGACUAUUGCUGGCUUGGAGCCAUUGUGGCACACAGCAAAAUGUUCUCUUGUGCGUGUGUGUAUUUUUAAAAAAGGAGACUGCUAAAGAAGCAAAGUUUAUCACUGAUCAGUAAAAGCAAUUUAGCAAUAUGUAACAAGGAUUCUUUUUUAAAGGCAGGAACAGAUAAAGAGUAGAAAACUGUUGGCAGUGGUAGGUGUUUAGAGAAGGCAAGUAACCCAGGCAGAGACAUAUUUUUGGAUAAUUAGGAAAUAAAGAGUAACACAGAGAAAUCAGGCAGAACUAUUUUGCUCUAGUAUCAGUAAACAUGCAAAAUAGCUCAUUUGGUACAUGUGACAAAAGCAGUGAGGUAAACAAAUUAAAAGUUAGAUAAGUUUAUGUAAAAAAAGAAGAAAACAUCUCAUUGCAAUCUAAUCAUGAGUACAACUUGAGAAGCCAGUGCUAAUGAGCUGAGAUUUAAAAAAGUCAAGGUUCUUCUCCUGAUUUUUAUUUUUAUACCAUAAAACCACAUUGUCAAUGACUGCAGAUACAUUGGAGCUCUGCUGUUCUGUUAUCCUGUUACUACAUUUAGAAGGCUAAUUUUACUACCUGCCCACAUGUGCGAUAAUUUCUACAGUCAUUAUUUAGAGUGGUACCUCAGGAAUGCUUGUUUCUGAAGGUGUAUAUUGGGUGUAGGAGGGAGAGUCUCUACACUGAAGGGAGUUGGAGUCAAUCUACUUGAGGGCACCAGGUUGAGUAAAGUUGAUGUAGUCAAGGUAUCUUCAACCUUUCAGAACUUUUAACCCAAACAUGCAUUUGAGGACCCACUUCUUAAUCAUUUAUGAUCUAUUUGCAUGGUGGUAGUGCUCAUGUUGUGACCCACUCGUGGGUCCUGACCUGCUGGCUGAAGAUGAGUGAACUGUAGCCCAUACCAUCUAAAAGCAAGGUCCACUUUGUAAUGGGUCAUGGUGAUGCGCUAAAUUGGAUAAGGUACCCUAAUCACCCAAGACUUUUGCAGAAGGGUGUGCAAAGUAUCUCUUACAGGGUGUUAUUCUAACCAUGUCUUCUCAGAAAUAAGCCUUGUUGAAUUCAGUGGGGCUUACACCCAGGUUAGUGGGGUUAUGACUGCAGCCUUAGUUGUUUUUGGAAACCCAGCAUCCCACAUCCAAACAAAAAAAGAGUGCCACUAUACCUAUAUUGCAGCUGCUCACACAUACAAAAUAUAGACAAAUUCCCUAAAUACAGAAUUAAGGAAUUCUAGGUUCUUUUCAGCCACAGCUGCCGUCUGUCUCUCUGUGGAAGUGUGUGAACUUGAAUCUGUUGUUUACAUACUUCCAUAUCCUUUGUUGGAACAGAAAUGAGAUGCUCUUGUCCCUUCCAGAGUUGUUAAAUCAGUUUUAACUCACUUGAACUUCUGAUUUAUCCUGUCCAGGACUUGUUAUCUCUGCCUACCUGAUUCUGUUAAGAUGUGUUCAUGAUGUGCUAGAAUUGGGGAUCAUGGGCAUCUGUAGUGACAGAAGUGCUUUUAAGGCAAGGAAAUAUCCCUAAAUACAGGUUUGAAUAAGCUGCCCCUUGGUAACCCUUUUUUUUGUGUGUGUUUGCUACUUAACGAUAUUUUGUUUGCAUUGAGUCAUAUAAGGAGGACCUGCAUACUGGCUGAAUAUAUUAUUUUAAUUUCAGCAGGUUUUGGAUCAAGUCUGCAUUAUUAAAUGUGUCAAGCAGGCACAGUAAUGCGGUGAUGCCUGUCCCAGAUAUGUCACCAACAAUGUAACACACAUAAUACGAAUUGUGUUCUUUCUUCAAAGUGCUCUGCUAAUGCUAAACUUGAUCCUCAGUGCAUUAAACAUGUAAGGGAGCCUGCUAAUUUCAGUCUGACUGCUCAGUUGAGGGUUUGGUAUAUCUAAAAAUGAACACUCACCAUUAUCAUGUUCAGACAGGAUAUUCCAGCAGCCUAAUUUUCCUCACAUUGGUUGUGAGCUUUUGGGAUGAUUUUGUUGCAACAUUUUCCCUUCCAAACAAUAUUUUUGGAAGCAGACAUGUGACAAAUGCUUUGCUGAGAAGCUUAAUCUACCUAGAUUCUGCCCUGUGACAUAAUACAUUGUUCUCCUCCAGAUGUUCCUUCAUGGAGUAAAAAUGUUACAUCAAAAUUGGAGCUGUGGAGUAUGGUCUUAACCUUCCUUCCUUCCUUCCUUCCUUCCUUCCUUCCUUCUCUUUCUUCUCUUUCUUUCUUUCUUUCUUUCUUUAACAGCUUAAUUUUUUUUAACAGAAUCUAAGCAGUGUUCAACAGUAGCAAUCAACAUAAAACCACCAAAACAAUAUCCUAAAAACAGAGAUAAAAAUGCCAUUGGUACACAUCAAAAUAUAAGCUUCAUGUAUGACAGAGCAAAGGGCAUUACAAAAUGUAACAAUUUCAACAGUGUUGGUCCUAUUAACCACAGUUUACUGGAUCAAGAUCAAGCCUGGUGCCAAAAAGUCCCUGCUCCAACCUUCCUCCACUUACCUCUCUUGCACCUUUAUUGCAGAAUUUGAGGGGUUUGUUAGACCACAGUUUCCUGUUUUGUGCAUUUUAAACUCUGACUGCACUCCAGUACUGGAGGCCAUGGUUUUAUCUUUGUUUGGAACCUAGAUUAGUUAUGUCUCAUCCAGGUCAGUGUGGUGUUGUUGACUAAAUGACAGAACUUGGGAAAAGGAAUACCUGAGUUUGAACCUCAGCUCAGCCAGGAAGUUUAUAAGGUGGUUUUGGGAAGCUACUAACUUUUAUUUUUUAUUUUUUUGGUCUUCCUAUCACACAUAUAAUGGGAUAUAAUACUGAGUUCCUUACGGGAAGUGAUGGAGUCUAAAUAAAUUAUCCUUUUGCAUGUUUCUUUAGCAGAAUUAAAAAGGGAACAGCAAUAUAGAGCACGUACAUCCAGUCCUGUUGAGUAUCAGACCUUUGGUGUUUCAGCUUUGUCACAGAGUGGGACUGGAUGCUUGUCUGAGGUGGUCUGUCGCAGAGCAGACAUUUCUAUCAGCAGCAGAAAGCCUUAUGAGGAUAUGUUUCAAAAUAAUAAGAAUAAUGAC
rnacentral:lncRNA from 1 species